UGCCUAGGCCCUACCCAGUUCCUCAGCCAUAGGCCCCUGUGAGUCCUAUGCCCAAUCCCUAUUUUCCCCUUUGUUCCUGCCCCACCUGCAGGGCCCCAGCUAAAGAAGGAAGCAGAGGCAGUGUUGGUUCCUUUGUUGCAGAUGAAAAGCAGAGGAGAAAGUACCCUCAUGUAGGCUGUCCAGGCUACAGAGAGGGAAAUGGUCCCUGGUUUCUAAACUGGAUCCUUGAUUCCCCAAGACAUACUGCUAGACAUAGCAUUAGGUUCUCUGGUACUACUAUCAUCC
rnacentral:lncRNA from 1 species